rnacentral:rRNA from 1 species
UGGACCUCAGAUCAGGCAAGAUUACCCG